rnacentral:rRNA from 1 species
UGCCUUACACAUGCAAGUCGAACGGCAGCACGGGAGCAAUCCUGGUGGCGAGUGGCGAACGGGUGAGUAAUAUAUCGGAACGUGCCCGGUCGUGGGGGAUAACGUAGCGAAAGCUACGCUAAUACCGCAUACGUCCUACGGGAGAAAGCAGGGGACCUUCGGGCCUUGCGCUAUCAGAUGAGCCUAGGUCGGAUUAGCUAGUUGGUGAGGUAAUGGCUCACCAAGGCGACGAUCCGUAACUGGUCUGAGAGGAUGAUCAGUCACACUGGAACUGAGACACGGUCCAGACUCCUACGGGAGGCAGCAGUGGGGAAUAUUGGACAAUGGGCGAAAGCCUGAUCCAGCCAUGCCGCGUGUGUGAAGAAGGUCUUCGGAUUGUAAAGCACUUUAAGUUGGGAGGAAGGGUUGUAGAUUAAUACUCUGCAAUUUUGACGUUACCGACAGAAUAAGCACCGGCUAACUCUGUG